rnacentral:rRNA from 1 species
AGCUGGUCUGAGAGGAUGAUCAGCCACAUCGGGACUGAGACACUGCCCGGACCUCCACGGAGGGCUGCAGCAACGAAUCAUCCGCAAUGCGCGAAAGCGUGACGGUGCGACGCCGCGUGCGGGACGAAGCCCCUAGGGGUGUAAACCGCUGUCAGGGGAAACCACACCGAUAGGGCAAAUAGUCCUUGAGGUAGAGGGAACCCAGAGGAAGCCACGGCUAACUCUGUGCCAGCAGCCGCGGUAAGUCAGAGGUGGCUAGCGUUGCUCGGAAUCACUGGGCUUAAAGGGUGCGUAGGCGGCUUAUCAAGCAUUAUGUGAAAGCCCUCGGCUCAACUGAGGAAUUGCAUAAUGAACUGGUAAGCUUGAGGUGCGUCGGGGCCGGAAGAACUCUGGGUGGAGCGGUGAUAUGCGUAGAUAUCCAGGGGAAUGCCAGUGGCGAAGGCGUCCGGCUAGGCGCAAUCUGACGCUAAGGCACGAAAGCGUGGGUAGCGAACGGGAUUAGAUACCCCGGUAGUCCACGCUGUAAACGUUGUGCACUGGUUUCGGGAACCUCUGACGGUUUCCGGAGCGUAGAAAAAUCGUUAAGUGCACCGCCUGGGGACUACGGCCGCAAGGCUAAAACUCAAAGGAAUUGACGGGGGCUCACACAAGCGGUGGAGCAUGUGGCUUAAUUCGAGGCAACGCGAAGAACCUUACCUGGGUUUGACAUGUACGGAUGCCCCCCUGGAAACAGGGUGUGGUUGCCCUCGUGGUGAAACGUACACAGGUGCUGCAUGGCUGUCGUCAGCUCGUGCCGUGAGGUGUUGGGUUAAGUCCCGUAACGAGCGAAACCCCUAUCUUUAGUUGCCAGUUCCGAUUUAUCGGAAGGCACUCUAACGAGACUGCCGGCGUCAAGCCGGAGGAAGGUGGGGACGACGUCAAGUCAUCAUGGCCUUUAUACCCAGGGAUGCACACGUGCUACAAUGCCAGGUACAAAGUGACGCGAAGCCGCGAGGUGGAGCAAAUCGCAAACAACCUGGCCCAGU